ensembl:snRNA U6 U6 spliceosomal RNA
UUGCUCCAGCAGUGGAUGCACUAAAACUAGAAUGAUACACAGAUUAAUUAGCAUGGCUGCUACUCAAGAAUGACAAGGAAAAUCAUGACACAUCCACAUUUUUC